rnacentral:rRNA from 1 species
AUGCAUAAGGGCAUCUCCAACAGAUUGUAUGUUAGUCCUGUUGGUAAAUUGUCCAUGUCAUCAGCCAACAAGCUAUCAUACAACUACUCCAAUAGGUUGUAUCUAAGCUAUCCAAUAGAUGAUGAGAAUGUAAAUGUGAUUGCUCUCUAUUUCACCUUGAAGCUUGUGCCAAGGUUGUUGGUUAUUCUACAUACAACUUUGCUCUCUCUCCACAUUUAUUACAUGCCACAUCAUCACUAUAUCCUACGUGGCAAAUUUACCAACACCUAUCUUACGGCUGUUGGAGAUGCCCUAACUUGA